CUACGUGCCAGCAGCCGCGGUAAUACGGAAGGUCCAGGCGUUAUCCGGAUUUAUUGGGUUUAAAGGGAGCGUAGGCGGACGAUUAAGUCAGCUGUGAAAGUUUGCGGCUCAACCGUAAAAUUGCAGUUGAAACUGGUUGUCUUGAGUGCACGCAGGGAUGUUGGAAUUCAUGGUGUAGCGGUGAAAUGCUUAGAUAUCAUGAAGGACUCCGAUCGCGAAGGCAUAUGUCCGGAGUGCAACUGACGCUGAGGCUCGAAAGUGCGGGUAUCGAACAGGAUUAGAUACCCUGGUAGUCCGCACAGUAAACGAUGAAUACUCGCAGUGUGCGAUAUAAUGUAUGCUGCCAAGUGAAAACGUUAAGUAUUCCACCUGGGGAGUACGCCGGCAACGGUGAAACUCAAAGGAAUUGACGGGGGCCCGCACAAGCGGAGGAACAUGUGGUUUAAUUCGAUGAUACGCGAGGAACCUUACCCGGGCUUGAAC
rnacentral:rRNA from 1 species